AUCCAGACUCCUACGGGAGGCAGCAGUGGGGAAUAUUGCACAAUGGGGGAAACCCUGAUGCAGCGACGCCGCGUGAGUGAAGAAGUAUUUCGGUAUGUAAAGCUCUAUCAGCAGGGAAGAAAAUGACGGUACCUGAUUAAGAAGCCCCGGCUAACUACGUGCCAGCAGCCGCGGUAAUACGUAGGGGGCAAGCGUUAUCCGGAUUUACUGGGUGUAAAGGGAGCGUAGACGGCAGGGCAAGUCGGAAGUGAAAUGCCGGGGCUUAACCCCGGAACUGCUUUGGAAUCUGUGCAGUUAGAGUGCAGGAAAGGUAAGUGGAAUUUCUCGUGUAGCGGUGAAAUGCGUAGAUAUUAGGAGGAACGCCAGGGG
rnacentral:rRNA from 1 species